rnacentral:rRNA from 1 species
GAAAACCGGUCUCAGUUCGGAUCGGAGUCUGCAACCCGACUCCGUGAAGCUGGAUUCGCUAGUAAUCGCGCAUCAGCCAUGGCGCGGUGAAUACGUUCCCGGGCCUUGUACACACCGCCCGUCAAGCCAUGGGAGCCGGGGGUGCUUGAAGUGCGUCGCCGUGAGGCGCGCCCUAGAGCAAAACCGGUGACUGGAGCUAAGUCGUAACAAGGUAAC